CGCACAUAUUUGAAAGCAGUGGGUAACGGAAAAUAAAAUACCCACCCAACAUUCAUAAUACCCACUCCAAAAAAAUACAGUGGGUACAGUACCCACAUGAGCUAAAUCUUAUCUGGAGCUCUGUUGUUUAUGAUUUUGCCGGAAUGGAGUGGAAGAUUUUUGUGCUCAGUUCGAUCAUGAACUGUAUGUAUUGUACUCAUUGUGCUUGUUGUACUCAUUGUACUUAUUGUACUCAUUGUACUCAUCCCAUAUCUGUGAUGUUUUUCUUAUGAAAGAUAUUUUCAUAUUGAGAUUACUAUUUUCACCAACAUAUUGUAUUGAAUAUGUUCGCUAUUUUGUGUAGUCAAAACUUUGUGAAUGUACAGAAUUGUAUCUUAAAUAGAAAUAUAUAUCAUGUAUGCAUAAUAUGUACAGUAAUACAAUUUUGUAUUUAGCUUUUAUUGAUAUGAAUGUUUGAGAUUUGACCAUUGUUGGUACUUAAUGGGUUUGUAUACAAUUGGGUUCCUGCCAUACCCCUGUGAAUACAUACAACAGAAUACAGUAGUUGCUGUCUUCAACAAGGAAAUCAAAUCACAACAGGAAGCUAGUGCUUAGUCCAGUCAUGCUGAGAAGACAUGACACAAAUCAUGUAACAUGCCUCCUACUCCUAGUGAGGGGCGGAGGGGUAGCCUAAUUCGUUGCUCGUCACGCCGAAGACCUGGGUUCGAUUCUCCACAUGGGUACAAUGUGUGAAGCCCAUUUCUGGUGUCCCCCGCCCUGAUAUUGCCCGGAAUAUUGCUAAAAGCGGCAGUAAACAAUAAACUCACUCACCCUACAACAUUGUGAUCAUGCACUUUAAACUUUUCUCCUGUAUGAGGUGACGAUAGGGUUCAUACAAAAAUCAUGCACAGUGUAUGGCUCAUUUGACUCCGUGAGGAGAAUGUCCGCAGUUCCGUUCAUCAUGAUAUUAACAGCCAUAUGUAGUCACAGAUGGUAGAGGACUAUACAAACCCAGGAAGUACUGACAUGAUCACAUCCCACAAACCCCGUCAGUUGUUGACACUGAGAUGUGACAAGAUGUGUUAUUUGUUUUGUGUUGGCACUGCAGUUUAAAGUAACUUGAUUGACAGUUUUACCAGUGAAGAGUUAUAUAUACAGAAUAUACACCUGGAAAAAUAAUCAAGCGCCAUUUACUUUAGUGAGUGAGUAAGUUUACUUGUACGAUUUUUCUGGAAUAUUUCAACUAGGAAUAGGACUAGGGCUAGGACUUAGCAUCAUCUGAUGUGACCCAGUACUUACGGCAGAUUUGAUCAGUAUGCAGUAUUCAUGUACCGACUACCCAAGGAUCAAUGGUAUUUUAACCAUUUCUAAAUAUUUAACCACUGUCAUAUGUUGAUUCCCCCCAAAAUGCAAACGAUAUGGAUAUUUAAAUAUGAAAAAUGAUGGUGCUUUUCUUUUCUCCAGAGUGUAAUAAUGCUUACUGAUGUGAACUGAAUAUUUGUUUCGCUUCAUAUUGUGUUCAGGACAUACUCAAGUUUAUAUUGUCUCAUGAAAAUGUUUAUUUUGGUAUUAGUAUACUAGUAGUUUAGAUUUAGACAGAGUAUUAUGAUUCUGGUUAAUUUGUUUAGGGAUAAAAUGAUGUGAUGAGUUUUGUUUUGGAGUUUUGUUUUAUAGACUCAUUUGUAUGAUUUUCCAACACUGACCAGAAUGGUACACAAUCUAGAUAUUCUGGGAACAAAAUAUUGCAUUAGUAUUAGAAUACCUUUUUCACAGCUAUUCAUCAAAGAUCUGUAGAUGUCUGAAUUGCAUAUGACAUGCAUUUUAGAUCUACUUUCAUAAAGCAGGUUAAUUAGAGUGAGAAAUCUUUGAAAUGGGAAAGUGUGAAAUUGACACUUUUUUUGUUGAAAUUGACACAUUU